GGUGGUAUCGCUCAGUGGUUAAGAGCAUAGGCUGGGAAUCUGAUGGCCUAGGUUCAGUUCCUGAUUUCACCA
rnacentral:tRNA from 1 species